GGGUCAGUGGGUUGGUCGUGCCACCGGUACGUACUGGUCUCACUGAUUCCUCCUUCCUGAAGAACCGUAAUGCCAUUAAUUUGGUGUUGCGGGGAAACAGGACUGUUAAUUUGAAAAAAUUAGAGUGUUUAAAGCAAGCUAACGCUUGAAUACAUUAGCAUGGAAUAAUGAAAUAGGACGAUCGAUCCUAUUUUGUUGGUUUCUAGGAUUGACGUA
rnacentral:rRNA from 1 species